rnacentral:rRNA from 1 species
UACGUAGGGUGCAAGCGUUAAUCGGAAUUACUGGGCGUAAAAGCGUGCGCAGGCGGUGAUGUAAGACAGAUGUGAAAUCCCCGGGCUCAACCCGGGAACUGCGUCCGAUACUGGAAGGCUUGAAUCCGGGAGAGGGAUGCGGAAUUCCAGGUGUAGCGGUGAAAAUGCGUAGAUAUCUGGAGGAACACCGGUGGCGAAGGCGGCAUCCUGGACCGGUAUUGACACUGAGGCGCGAAAGCCAGGGGGAGCAAACGGG